CGUUUUUUGAUAUUGUAUAAAAAAUACAGCCUGCCCAAUGAGGAUUAAAUGGCCGCGGUAUCUUGACCGUGCGAAGGUAGCAUAAUCAUUAGUCUAUUAAUUGUGGACUGGUAUGAAUGGCUAGAUCGUGAGAUGCUGUCUCUAAUUCAAGUAUGAAUUUUAGAUUUUUGUGAAGACGCUAAAAUUUUUCUAUUAGACGAGAAGACCCUAUUAAGCUUUACAUUUAUUGUUUUCAUAAGAGGGUUAAACAAGAGAUGUUUUAUUGGGGCGAUAGUAAAAUUGAAACUUUUAUUUAAAGGGGGUAUAAAUAGGUUCACCAGCUUAAUGAUCCAUAAUUUAUGAUUAUAAGAACAAGUUACUAUAGGGAUAACAGCGUAAUCUUAUUGGAGAGUUCUUAUUGAUAAUAAGGAUUGCGACCUCGAUGUUGAAUUAGGAUACCUUUAAGGUGCAGCCGUUUUUUUAGGUAGUCUGUUCGACUAUUAAAUUCCUACA
rnacentral:rRNA from 1 species